AGGGUUUGAUCCUGGCUCAGGAUGAACGCUAGCGGCAGGCCUAACACAUGCAAGUCGAACGGUAACAUAAGAGCUUGCUCUUGAUGACGAGUGGCGCACGGGUGAGUAACGCGUAUGCAAUCUACCUAUAACUGAGGGAUAGCCCAGAGAAAUUUGGAUUAAUACCUCAUAAUAAUAUUUUUUGGCAUCAUUAAAUAUUUAAAACUUCGGUGGUUAUAGAUGAGCAUGCGUUCUAUUAGUUUGUUGGUGAGGUAAAAGCUCACCAAGACUACGAUAGAUAGGGGGCCUGAAAGGGUGAUCCCCCACACUGGUACUGAGACACGGACCAGACUCCUACGGGAGGCAGCAGUGAGGAAUAUUGCACAAUGGAGGAAACUCUGAUGCAGCCAUGCCGCGUGCAGGAUGACGGCCCUAUGGGUUGUAAACUGCUUUUUUACAAGAAGAAACCUUGGUACGUGUACCAACUUGACGGUAUUGUAAGAAUAAGCACCGGCUAACUCCGUGCCAGCAGCCGCGGUAAUACGGAGGGUGCAAGCGUUAUCCGGAUUUAUUAGGUUUAAAGGGUUCGCAGGCGGAAUUUUAAGUCAGUGGUGAAAGCCUACAGCUCAACU
rnacentral:rRNA from 1 species